GCUUACGGCCACACCGCCUGGUUCCCGUCCGUCUCGUUUGAUCUCGGAAGCUAAAAUGGUUGGGCCUGGUUAGUACUUGCAUGGGAGACUGCCUGGGAAUACCAGGUGCUGUAAGCU
rnacentral:rRNA from 1 species